GUGUGCAUACCCGUUAGAAAAAUGUACUAUUAAGCGACCAGAACCAAUUUGCCUUUGCCUAUUACGUUACCAUGGAAGCUGCGAUAUGAACCACAUUAAUUAUUGUUGAGGGCAUGCACAUUCGCUGCAAAAUUACAGUGAUCGUCUCAUCACGUUCAUUCAAGUUUACGGCAACCAUCCUCGGUAUAAACAUAUUGUGCAGAUCUGUUUAUAUAUAGCCAUGAUGAUCUUUUAUGUGAUUACUCAUACUGGUGCACACAAAUGAUUUUAUGCCAUUCAACGCGAGGUUUUUGUGAUAUGACCCUUGGACAGCCUUCCUUUGAUCAGGCAGCCAAUGUGUGUUUAGUUCUCCAUCCGAAAUAUUGUUGAAACUCUCAUUGAUGUUGGGACAAGGUAUAUUGUGCUUUCAGUCUUCAUGAUCGUGUGCGCCCAACCGAACAGCUUAUAGGUCUGUUUCUCCUAUGUUCGUUUCAGUGCCAGUGGAAAGUGAUCAUGGAUACAACAAAAAGAAUGCGAAUCGUUUUAGCAAAUACCCCAAAUAAGCAAUCUGGUAGAAAAUUCUUUUUCAAUUGUAUAAUCAGCGUCAUGAUAGCGCUCGAACUGUCGUCUUACUGUAAAGCUCAGUGCUCAAAUCCCGGG